rnacentral:lncRNA from 1 species
GUCUCAGCUCGAGCAUUCCUAGCGCCAACACGCCCUCAGGUAAAGGUGGAAGUAAAUGGCCACGCUGUAUUGACAGAGCAGGUAGAUGAAACUCAAGAGAAAAGGUGUGGAUAAAUGAAACUAGCCCAUGAUGAACCUGUUUUCUCCGUGACCACAAUAUUAACCAGGAUGAAUGGCGGUGGCAGUGGGCCUGCAUCACAGGUUGCAGCAGAUGUUCUCAAUAUUUCUAUUAAAAUUUCCUUAUUUCCAUAUGCAAGAGGAGCCCCAGAGCUGCAUCCUUAUGGUAGCUACCAUGCCGUGAUGUAAGCUGCCAUUCACUGGGGAGCUUUGGCAAUAGAAUUGGCUAGAUCAGGAAGCCUAUGUCAACUAUGGAACAACAACUUGCAGCUCAUCUCUAUUGAUGGAAUCUAAUGACCAUUGAACUGUGGCCAUGACUUCAAUUACAAGUAUUUUCUUCACUAAUGUCAGACUGUGGGCCUUUGUAUAUACACUUUUAACAAACUUUUUGGAAGUGCAAUACAUAUCGCAACAACUUCUCAAUGCUGAAUCAUAGUAUUGGAAGACAUUUUAAGCAACAAUUAAACUCAACUUAUUUACUACCAAUAAUGUACAUAAGUCAGCUGAAGUGAGGAUAACAUGAAUAGCACAAAUACAUUAUGAUUGCUGCCUGGCCAACAGUAAUUAUAAGAAACUGUCAGUUUUGAGAUGUGUCUUGAUUUCAGAGAUGUUAAAAAAGUUUGUAAGUUACCAUUGAUAAAAUAUGAGUUUGCUUCCACAAAUAUUCUUUCUUCUGUCCUUCUGGAACUCAAGAGUAAACAUAUAUUAGAUUUUCUCACCAUUUCAUGCAUGCUGGUUCCUAGGCUACUCUCUGAGUCAUUUUUUUUUUCUUAUCUGCCCUCCAGUUCACUAGUUCUGUCAUUUUCUGGGUCUGAUCUGCUGCAAAUGCAAUACAUUGAGUUUUAAAUUUCAGUCAUUGUGUUUUCAUUUCUAGAAAUUUCAUUUGACUCUUUCUCAAAUUACUUUUCCAUUUUUUUUGUAGUUUCCUAUCCCUGGAGAUAUUUUCAAUCAUGCCAUUUAAUUUUUUAAAUACGCAAGUGUAGUUUUAUAAUUUGUGUCUGAUAAUUCUAAUAUCUGAAGUCUUAGUAGGUCUGUUUCAGUUGUCCUGUAAUUAUGCAUGUUUUUGCCCAUGUUGCUUUGUUUCCUUGUAUGCUUGGUUAUCUUUCUUACUGCCCUUGCAAAAUUAUUUGGAGAGUCCUGGAGGCUUAAAUGAAGAUAACUUUUAGGAAUAAUUUGCAUUUGCUUUUGCCGAGGAUCUUGGGAUCAUUUCAACCAAAAUCUUAGCUUGAAAUUCCGCAAUCAAUCAAGGUGAUGAGAACCUGGUCAGUAAAUCCUAAUGAGGGCCAGGCUGUGGCCAAAGAUUUUUAGACAGAUGUUUCCCUCCUUUGCCAUUUCUCUUUUCUUUCCUCCUCUGCUCCUCUUAGUGUCCAGACAACCUUCAUGGAAGUCCUUGGGGUGGGUGGGAAAUGAGGACGGCAGGUUUCAUUCUAGGUAUAGCCCUUUGAGGUCUAACUUAAUGCAGAGAGAGUUUUCUGGUCUAUGUGCCACCUUACAUGGGAUCUUGAGCCUUGAUUUCUAAACCCCUUGCCUUUGAUGUUUCAGAAUUGAAGCUUAAAUUUGCCAACAGGCAAAUGUCCUCAAGGCAAAUUGGCUUAGGUGUUCGAUAUUCUUCUUACCAGAAAGGUAAACUUGGGUUUUUUACUUCACCCAGGAUUUGGCAUGACAGUUCCCCAUUAUCUUGUCAGCUUAGUGCUUUAAGUGAUUGCAUUUAAAAAAAUUCUGCAUUUUCAGUUUUUAGCAGGAGGAAUGGCCUCAACUAGUGGUUUUCAACUGGGGAUGAUUUUUUUCCCCUAGGGGACAUUUGAUAAUGUUUGGAGAUGUUUUAGUUGUUAGAACUGGGGUUGGGGGAACUACUGUCAUCUGGUGGGGAGAGACCGGCAAUGCUGUUGAUCUUACUAUAAUGCACAGGCCACCCCCAACAACAAACAAAUUACAUAGCCCCAAAUAUCAAUAAUGCCAAGGUCCAAAUAACCUAACCUUCCAUUACUGAAAAUAGAAGUUCAAGAAGAUAGUUUAUAAUUUAAAAAUUUUUAGGUCUUAAUAAGUUGUCAUACUUUCACAGGUUUUAUUUCAUACUAAGUAAUUUAUUUCAAAUUUUACAUUCCAAUUACAGAAAAUUUUCUAAGCCAGUUUUUGUUCUUCAUGAGUAUUACUAUCAAGGUCACAUUUUUCAUCUAGUAUGUUUUACCCUGGUACUUGUUGGCAGGGUCAGGACUAAGGUGAGAUGCGCAAGGCAUUUGCCUCACACAAAAUGCACAAUGAAUAAAAUGUCAAAACUUUAAAUAAAGACAGAAUCACUAAAAGUACUUUGCCAUAUUGGAACCUGAGGCAAAAAGAAAAAUAAGUAAUAAUAUUUAAAAUUUUGAUCUCUUGUUCAUUGUAGAUUUUUACAUUAAUUUUGAUUGUUUAAAACAUUGCAUUAAAAUAUUAUUUAAUGUG